GGGUUUAGGUUUUAAAUUUGGAUUUAGGGUUUACCGAUUUUGGGUUUAGGGUUUAGUAAUUGGAAGGUGGGGGUUGAGGUUGGGGUCAACAUAACUUCUUUCAUUCAAGCAUAUAUCUUUCAUAAUUUUACCAAUAUGUACUAUACUAUUGAUUUUGUUCUAUUCUAUCUGAGUUUAUGGUUUAUAUUUGUAUUUAAGAUUUAUAUUUGAAUUUAGGAUUUAGUGAUUAGGGUUUAGGAUUUAGUAUUUAGUAUUUGGAAGGUGGGAGUUGAAAUUGGGGCCAUCAUUAACUUCUUACAUACAAUCCUAAACAUUUCAUAAUUUCGUAAAUAUGUAUUAUAGU
rnacentral:lncRNA from 1 species